rnacentral:lncRNA from 1 species
CUUCCAGCAGUUGCUCUGCUGUGACUUCUAUUCCCAGCAAGCCAGACAGCCAGAUUGACAGGUCUUCUUGCAUAGGCACCAAAGUUGCUUCAUGCCGCACAGAUAUCCACUGGUCAUACAGGCACACAUCUGCCAGACCUGGGCCGUGUCUGGGAGUCAGAGGACUUCGAGGACAUAAAGGAAGGUCAUCUCCAAACCACACCUGAACUGCAUUCUGCAUGGUCACCUGCAU